AGAGUUUGAUCCUGGCUCAGAACGAACGCUGGCGGCGUGGAUUAGGCAUGCAAGUCGAACGGGAUCCAAGAGGUUCAAGUUUUCGGACGAGAAUCUUUUGGUGAGAGUGGCGAACGGGUGAGUAACGCGUGGGUAAUUUGCCCUAAAGUUGGGGAUAGCCAAUCGAAAGGUUGGAUAAUACCGAAUGUGGUCAGCUUCCGCAUGGAAGCCUAUCUAAAGGUGGGGAUCUUCGGACCUGCCGCUUUAGGAUGAGCCCGCGUCCCAUCAGCUUGUUGGUAAGGUAACGGCUUACCAAGGCUUACGGGUAGCUGGUCUGAGAGGAUGGUCAGCCACACUGGGACUGAGACACUGCCCAGACUCCUACGGGAGGCUGCAGUCGAGAAUCAUUCGCAAUGCACGAAAGUGCGACGAUGCGACGCCGCGUGCAGGAUGACGGCCUUCGGGUUGUAAACUGCUGUCUUGAGGGAACAAUAGCACGGAGGUGAAUAGCCUGUUGUGUGUGAUGGUACCUCAGGAGGAAGCCACGGCUAACUCUGUGCCAUCAGCCGCGGUAAUACAUAAGGAGCAAGCGUUGUCCGGAAUUAUUGGGCGUAAAGAGCUCGUAGACGGUUUUGAAAGUCAGCUGUGA
rnacentral:rRNA from 1 species